UAUUGCUCUGCCUUGAUGCUCUAUUGCUCUGUCACGGAUCGGUGAGGUCACGGCUUGCCGUGACGUCAGCGCGUAUGUGUACUGCCGCCGCGUCUGCCCUGGGGCACGGUGGGGUCGGCCGCGGGCCGGUUGGGGCCGCGGGCCGGCAGUGCGCUGGGUGAGCCAAUACAGUACAGACCAGUUCGUUACAGUGGCGACGAGAAUCACUGGACUUGAAGAGGAGGUGGAACAUUUGGCACAAGUAUGGUACAUGGAGCGUUGGGUGAGUUUGAUCCGGGCAAUGAAGGAAUCGGAAGUUACUUGGAACGGUUUGAUUUUUACUGUGAGGCAAAUGGGAUCUCAGCAGCGGAACGGAAGAAGGCUGUUUUUCUGUCAACUGUAGGCCAUGGCACGUUUGAUAUAAUUAAGGAUCUGUUACACCCAGUGGGGCUUUCUGAUGCGUCCUUGGCCGAAAUAAGAGACAGUUUACUUCGGCAUUUCAAGCCUCAAAGCGUGGAAAUAGCGGAACGGUUCAAAUUUUUCAAGCGGACACAACAGUCGAAUGAGUCUGUGAGUGAGUAUAUUGCUACGCUGAGGAAAAUGGCCAAGGAAUGUAAUUUCGGUGACUAUUUGAAUACGGCGCUCAGGGACCAGCUCGUAUGUGGAAUGAAAGAUGUCAAGUGUCAGCGAGAGCUGUUGAGCAAGUCUGAUCUGACAUUGGAAUCUGCCCUGCAGCAGGCCAAGGCCAUGGAGGCGGUGCAGAGAGAGGCUUCUUGUUUCAGCGGAGAGGUGGCCGCGGCUGCUAACCGGGUGGCCAGUGGGCCGCAGCGGACCAUCAGAAGCGCCCAGCCCGGGCACAGGGACGCGCCGACAUCAGCUGACUCAGCUAAGUACGGCCGAUCGUGCUGGCGCUGUGGCAAUCGGCAUGGUGGGAAAUGCCGAUUCGAGUCCGCCAAAUGUUACGCAUGUGGUCGUCAGGGUCACAUUUCAAGAUGCUGCCGGCAGCAGGCGUCUUCAGUUCACCACCAGGGAGUGUCUGGAGAGCAGCCUGAUGAUGACAGCGGCGCGGUGGAGCCGGUCCUGCUGGAGAACUUGUCGACUCCGAGUCAGCCGGUGUAUGUGGUUAACCGCGCCCAGGUGAGCUCGCCACCUAUUUGGUGCCCUGUUCAGAUUUGUAGCACGCAGGUUAACAUGGAGUUAGACACGGGCGCUGGUGUCACAUUGAUUGAUGAACACACAUACCGUCGUUUUCAAAAGCGUCCGAAGUUGAAUAGCAGCCCCGUUAAACUGAGAUCGUUUACUGGCAACACAAUACCUGUACUGGGUGAAUUCAGCACUGACGUGACGUACAAUGGUCGGCUGUACAGGCAACUCCCGAUCGUGGUCGUCCAUGGAUCGGCUCCAUGCCUCCUGGGUCGGAACUGGCUGGAGAAGAUGCAGAUCUGCUGGUCUGACGUGCACGCGCUGAGGACUUCACAUCUACAACGACUCAAAAGCAAGCAGCCAGUCAGAGGAAGAACACUGGAAGGUGCUGGGAUCGAUCUUCAGUCGACUGGAGGCUGCUGGACUCCGAGUUCGGGAGACCAAGUGCGCGUUCUUUCAAGACAGCGUGGAGUAUCUGGGACAUCACAUGAGCAGGGAUGGAAUUCGGCCGACGUCAGACAAGGUGAAGGCUAUCGUGGAUGCCCCCCGCCCCGCUAAUGUGACUGAGCUCAAGUCUUUCCUCGGACUUGUUACAUACUACUCGCGAUUUAUAGCGCAGCGUGCCGAGGUCUUGUCUCCCCUGUAUGACCUUUUAAGGGCAGGGGCCAGCUGGACAUGGGGGCCUUCACAAGAGAAGAGUUUUAAUUCUGUGAAAGACGCUCUGGCCUCCCACACUUUGUUGGUUCAUUUUGAUCCAGAAAAACAGCUGAUUCUUACCACCGAUGCAUCAUGCAGGGGGGUCGCUGCAGUAUUGGCUCAUCUCGAUGAUAAUGGUGUAGAGGCGCCGAUCGCUUUCGCCUCUAGAAGAUUGUCUGUAGCAGAGCAAAAGUACAGUCAAAUUGAGCGUGAGGGCUUGGCGGUCAUCAUGGGAGUAACCAAGUUCCACCAGUAUCUGUGCGGGGUAACUCGACCAUUCUUCCUCGUCACGGAUCAUAAGCCGCUCUUCAAGUUGUUUGGGCAGCAUGAGGCGUUGCCUGAGAUGGCGUCUGGGCGAAUCAGGCGCUGGGCUCUCAAACUGUCUGGUUAUAAUUACCGCAUUCAGUUCAAGCGAACACAUGAGAUUGCCAAUGCCGAUGCGCUGAGCAGGCUGCCCAGUCCUUACAUUGAAGGAGCGCAGCCGGAGGAACUGGUUCUUCAUGCAGAUGAGGACUGGUCUGGUGCUGAGGUCGGGGAAGCAGGUCCUCAGCCUGAAGAGUUGGAGCUGUUGACAGCGCAAAGCUGGUUAGAUGCGAAGCAGGUGGCCAAGCUGACCAGCAUGGACCCAGUGUUGUCGAACGUUGUGCGCCUUGUACAGUUUGGAGGGUGGCCCACUCAAAUUCCGGAAUCGCUCAAAUGUUUCGCCCCUAAAAAGGAUGAACUGUCACUGACGGCUGGGGUUCUGCUAUGGGGUCAUCGUGUUGUGAUUCCAGAUGCUGCCCGCAGAGCUGUGCUGAUGGAGCUGCACGUCGGACAUCCGGGCAUCGGCAAGAUGAAGGCGUUGGCGAGGAGCGUCGUCUGGUGGCCCGGCAUCGACCAGGAUGUGGAAGCAGUCGUCGGAGGGUGCACUGCGUGCCAGGAGAGUCGUGACUCGCCACCGCAUCGCUUUGGAGACGGCAUGGUGACCAGCUGAGGAGGCGGCAGUCAGCUGAGCCGAUCAGUCCGCCGGAGGCGGCGUCACGGGAGGUCCGGCGGCCGUCGUCCGAUGCUGCUGUCCAGCCCGGGCGACCAGGUGGAGCGUCUCAGGGGACUGCACCGCCGGCACCGCUGUCGUCCGCCGUGCAGCCGUCGCAGUCGCGGCCGGGGGCGCUCACUCAGCAGCCGCCUCCGCCCAAUGUUCGGUCGUCGCCGACGCGGCCGGGGGUACCGGCUCAAUCGUCGCAUCGGCCGUCGCCCGUCUCCGCCCCGUCGUCACUCGAGCCGGGUGGGCCGCCGCAGCCGUCGGCGGACGUUUGGCCGUCGUCCGCUCCUGGAACGUGUCCGGCGCCGAGCUCACCGGAUGGGACUGGGCCUCAUCCAGAGGUGGCGACAUCUGUGGAGCGGACAUUGCGGCGCUCGACUCGAACGCGGAGAGCGCCUGAGCUAUAUCAGGCAGGGAGUGGGAUGUGAUGGCCUGUUACCUGUACUAGUGUUACGAGGAAGUGCUUAGUUAAGGAAGGGGGAGUGUAGUGUAUUGCUCUGCCUUGAUGCUCUAUUGCUCUGUCACGGAUCGGUGAGGUCACGGCUUGCCGUGACGUCAGCGCGUAUGUGUACUGCCGCCGCGUCUGCCCUGGGGCACGGUGGGGUCGGCCGCGGGCCGGUUGGGGCCGCGGGCCGGCAGUGCGCUGGGUGAGCCAAUACAGUACAGACCAGU
rnacentral:misc_RNA from 1 species